CGUGUGAUAUGAUAUUAUGAAAAGGGCAUGUUUUAAUAAAGAUAUUAAUCAAACAUUGUGUUUAUUCGUUGAAAUCACUGGUUAUACAAGAACUUCAUCAUUAGCCCAUAUAGAACUCUAUCUAUUCUACUUUUUAGGCUGUAACUUGUCAAGCAGCUUGUCACACAAGUUUUUAAAUCAUUGCUUGGCACAGUUAAGCUUUAUAUGCAGCAUGUUUGAAAGGUGUCCUGCUUCAUUCUGUUUCUAUGGUCUGAUACACUUUACCAGUUUCACCUUUCUACCUCUGCUGU
rnacentral:lncRNA from 1 species